ensembl:lncRNA
UGUGUGUGUGUGUGUGUGUGUGUGUGUGUGUGUGUGUGUGUGUGUGUGUGUGUGUGUGUGUGUGAGAGAGUGAGUGAGUGAGUGAUACAUUUUAAAUAUUUAGAUAAACCUGAACUCACUAAAACUUGUGAACCUUAAAGUUUGUUCUUAAUGUUCUUUGUUAAGACUAAGAAGAACAGCUAUAGGUGGCAUUUGCUGUGUGCAGCAUCAAACUGAUGUAAGUGUGUUACUAUUAACUGAGAAUGGGUUAAGAUAUUAAAACACUGUUUGUGUGUCCCACAUGGUUCUUCCAUUAAAAAUACAGCUCACAGAUAAAUGUAGCCAUUCUGGUCAGCACGGUGAAACAAAGACAGGUAACUACUAAUCAUUUCUGACACUUUCACACUAAAACUAAUUUAAAAAAAAAAACAAAAAACCCUGAAGUGUCUGGUUUCCUCUGUUUGCCGUCUGUGUGCAGGACACAGUCCACAAAACUCUACUCAACACGUUCCACAAACAUGGCUGCUUACAGUUUUAUUGUCAGUGGAACAGCAGUUUGAUUACAUUUCGGGGGUUCAUUUAUACCAGCAGGAAGAUCUGUUCUCAGAACCAGCAGGCUGACCUUUACAGUGUUAAAGGAAAACAGCAACAUUUGCCACGGUGUAAUUACAACCCAAACAAGUGAGGAGUUUAGAAACACACACACACAGGUUUAUGCCUGUUUCGCUUUCUUGUAUAAUUUGUUCACUUGCAUCUUAAAUAUUUUACAAUAUUAUUCGAGGCGGGCCUCGCUCUCACAGUUGGACUCGAUCGCUGGGCUCGGAAUAGAAGUUUACCAGCUUUUUUCAACACAGCGAGGUCACAGGUAUUCAGACAAUGAGACAAAGAAAAGGGAAGUCCGCUGAAUCUCUCUCAUGGGAAUCUUGCCACACUGGUCUCUCGGCCACUCUUCGACACAGGCCUUCUGCACAGAGAAGAGGUUGAGUUGCAGAACAGCAGAAGGCAAACUUGAACACUGGGCCAGUACGAGGAGCUGAACCACACUACCAGAGCUAGUGCAAUCUGGUGUCAACUGGAGGAUUUCUUC